CAAUAGCGUAUAUUAAAGUUGUUGCAGUUAAAAAGCUCGUAGUUGGAUUUCGGGGCAGCCUGGCUGGUCCGCCGCAAGGCGAGUACUGGUCAGCCGCCCUUCCUCUCGAAAGCCCCGACUGCUCAUUAUUGCAGUGGUCGGGUAGUUCGGGACGUUUACUUUGAAAAAAUUAGAGUGUUCAAGGCAGGCCUACGCCUGAAUACAUUAGCAUGGAAUAAUGGAAGAGGACCUCGGUCCUAUUUUGUUGGUUUCCAGGACCGAAGUAAUGAUUAAGAGGGACAGUUGGGGGCAUUCGUAUUUAAUUGUCAGAGGUGAAAUUCUCGGAUUUAUGAAAGACGAACAACUGCGAAAGCAUUUGCCAAGGAUGUUUUCAUUAA
rnacentral:rRNA from 1 species